rnacentral:tRNA from 1 species
GCCGAAGUGGCGGAACGGUAGACGCGCUACGUUCAGGACGUAGUGUCCGCAAGGGCGUGUGGGUUCAAAUCCCUCCUUCGGCACCA